CGGGGCGUAGCUCAGCCUGGUCAGAGCGCCCGCUUUGGGGGCGGGAGGUUUCGCUGGUUCGAAUCCAGCCGCCCCGA
rnacentral:tRNA from 2 species